CCCGGGCCUUGUACACACCGCCCGUCACACCACGAGAGUUUGCAACACCCGAAGUCGGUGAGGUAACCGUAAGGAGCCAGCCGCCUAAGGUGGGGUAGAUGAUUGGGGUG
rnacentral:rRNA from 1 species